AUUGUUUCUUGGCUUUUUGGCUGAGAUCAAGUGUAGUUAUCUGUUCUUACCAGUUUACUAUCUGAUACGUCCUCUCUCCGAGGACAUUAUGUUAAAUGGAAUUUUGGAGCUGGGAGAUGGAAUAGGAGCUUGCUUGGUCCACUCUGCGCUUCCAGCAGGUAUUGCAGUACUCCUGGGAAGGGUGCACCCCCU